rnacentral:tRNA from 1 species
GGUGGGGUCAUGUCUCAGAGGUAGAAUAUUUGCUUGACAUGCAGAAAGUGCCAGGUUCAGUCCCUGGUACCGCCA